GUGUGGUUAACAAAAAUAAUAUAAAAAUGAAAUACAUAUAUAACAUUAGAAAUAAAUUACCAAAUUCGUAAAUUUUAAUUAAAGAAUCAUUCAGGUGUCUUUAAAAAAUAAUUUGAACAGUACUAUACAAAUGCACAAAUUUGGAACAAUGCUACAUACACAUAAGAGGAGUGUUAAGGUAGCCAAUGGCAGUGAUUGUGAGAGGACCAGGGUAGCCUGCCUUCUUCAACUCCGAUUCUAUAGAGUGAGCGACCAUUCUAGCAUCAUAACCAUCGGGAACCGGACAGCUGUUGAUGUCCCACCACACCAUCGUUUUUGGCUCCUGCUUCGCCUCGUUCGUAUUUCUUGAAUCCAUGGUUUUCAACAUACAAAUAUCAGUCAUCCUCAAAAUUCGGAUUAACAAAUCGCUUCUUUACUCAGAUGAAAUCACCGACCGAUGGAUGGUGCGGCGGAAUAGGGCAAGUUACACAUGUUUACCGAUACUAGUGGCUGUUUUAUAUGGGCUCAGAUUCGUGGCCUAUCAUCAAUGCCUGGAAGACACCUUCCAAGACUCGGAUGUUCUCUACAACAUAUCGAUUUUUCUUCAGAUAUCCACGGUGCAAUGUGUUUUUGUCCAUUUAUUUGAAUGGAUCCUACAUUUAAUCAAAAAAAA
rnacentral:sRNA from 1 species